UUGACCUCGGAUCAGGUAGGACUACCCGCUGAACUUAAGCAUAUCAAUAAGCGGAGGAAAAAGAACCAACAGGGAUUGCCCCAGUAACGGCGAGUGAAGCGGCAACAGCUCAGAUUUGGAAUCUGGCCCCCAGGGCCCGAGUUGUAAUCUGGAGAGGAUGCUUCUGGCGGGCGCCUUCCGAGUUCCCUGGAACGGGACGCCGGAGAGGGUGAGAGCCCCGUACGGUCGGACGCCCAGCCUUUGUGAAGCUCCUUCGACGAGUCGAGUAGUUUGGGAAUGCUGCUCAAAAUGGGAGGUAAAUUUCUUCUAAAGCUAAAUAUUGGCCAGAGACCGAUAGCGCACAAGUAGAGUGAUCGAAAGAUGAAAAGCACUUUGAAAAGAGGGUUAACCAGUACGUGAAAUUGUUGAAAGGAAG
rnacentral:rRNA from 1 species